CUGUGAAUACGACGACGUUGUGAGUUUACGAAGACGCCACUUUCUUCUUCCUCUCGUCGUGACCGUCGUCGUCCUUCCGCUCCCAGCUGGUAAUUCCUCACCAUUCCAGUUUGCUUCCCUCGUUUUCACCAUUGUGAGUUCGUUUGAGGACACAGAGAUGAGGGAAUUUAUGUGGCUGGUUCUUCUAGCUGGUAGUUUUUGCUACUCUGCGUUUGCUGACCAGAUCUUCCCUGCUCAAUUAGGUGGUACAUUUAGUCGCAACUCUCGUGGGCCAAAAUACAAUAUUGAAUUCCAUCCAGAAGACUCGCGUUACAAUCCGGAUGAUGACCAGGAAUCUGUGUUUAUGCCCAAAAAAAAUGGAAAGAAUUACUUAUGUUACUUGCCUAAGGUGGAGAAGUCCAAGAGUGAAAAGCCAGCUAUUCAACCGAACAUGACUAGCAUGAUUAUGGAAUCUGAGAAGCGGGUUAAAUUGAAGACUCCAGAUGAGCUACUUGAGGCAUUAAAAGAGCAAUGCUUUGUCAGGCAAGAGGGUUGGUGGACAUAUGAAUUUUGUUACCAGAAAACGCUACGACAAUUUCAUUUGGAGGAUGAUAAGGUAGUUCAGGAGUUUGUAUUGGGUGUCUAUGAUGCAGAGGAAACCGCUAAUCUCAAUGAGAAUCUCUCUGAUAUAUCUACUUUGAAGGACCCUCGCUCCAAAGAUGCAUCACAAAGGUAUCAUGCUCAUCAUUACACAAAUGGAACCAUGUGUGAUCUCACAAAUCGACCACGAGAAACUGAGGUUAGAUUUGUUUGCUCGGAGCCAAGAGCGAUGAUCGACUCUAUUACAGAACUAUCAACAUGCAAAUAUGCCCUUACAGUGCGAUGCCCGACGCUUUGCAAGCAUCUGUUAUUCCAGGAAGAAAGACCAGUCUGGUACACCAUUAACUGCAACGUGCUCCCUGAUGAUUACAAGGAAACAGAGCCAAGUGAAGACUUAGAAGACGAAAUUGUUAUGGUUACAGACGUCAAAUACCCAAAAAAUGAAUCCGAAGAGUAAUGUGAAUAUUUUAUAUCGUAGAAGUUUUAACAACCAAACUAACCUUACAAAAGAAGCCAUUCCUCUGUAGAUUUGGAUUCUGAAUUCAAAUAUACAGUUGCUUUGGAGAUCAAUCCACCGAUUUUCAGGCCCCACGACGAACAACUCCCAUGUGGAAUUUCAUAUGCUUUGAUCAUAUCUGAAUAUAGGUCAACCUGAAAGCUACUGAUAUGGCAGUCGUUUAUGGGAUUUAUUGUAUUGGACAAUGAUUCAACUUAUUGGAGGGGAAAAGCAGCGAGCGUUUGAAUUGUGCAUUCAUUUAUCCCUACAAGCUCUACAAGAUUUAUGGUCGUAAAUAUGGGUACAACGGUACAACUUUCAAGGUAUAAAUUUACUCUCUUGAAUAAUUUCUGAUUAGAUGAUAGUUCUAGAUCUUUAUCUUUUUAACAUCCCCUCAUUUCCUCUAGGUUAGUGAUUCAAAUCCUCGAGCCUUUGUCGUAUUAAGAAAAAUCUAUAUCUUCUCUAUUAAGACAGUUUUAUUUAUAAAUCAACCUUUUGUACUUUUCCAUCA